CCCGGUGCAGGUUUGGCCUGAGGAAUCUCUCCAGCUGUUUAUCUCCUGCCAUUCCUUUUCUUGUUAGGCCUGGGAAGAAACUGAGUUUUCAGAGAAUUCUAUUGUUGCUGUAGAACACAAUUUGCUCUGCUGCAGAGCAAGCCAGGCAGAGUGAGCUGUGACUCUUUUCCUUCCUUGCUGGCUGCCUGUCUGGCAUCACUUUCCCUCAUAAGCUGGGUUCUUAAGUGGAGACAGUGCAUCCAAGUUGCAGCAAGAGGCCACUGAGGAUCAGAGGAAAACAUCAGCACAUCAAAGGUGCAGGGCAGGGAGCAGCACAUGGGCAGAUCUGUCCUGCAGUAGGAGUGCAGGGGCAAGUGAGAGCUGAGGUUCCUGUGCUGACCACUGGCUGCCUGGAUGAUGCUGUUCCAGCUGCUUCACAACUCUGUGCCUCAGUUUCCCCUUCUUCAUGUCGGAAGCUGGGAUUCAGUCCUGCCCUGCAGACAGCUGACAGGGCUGACAUUCCAUGUCCUGGGACUGUGGUUACCAAGCCCUGGGGCUACACAGACCUGAUCUCCCUCCUGGAUUUCUCCAAGUGCCUGUCCAAGUGAUAGUUUUUUCUCCAGAAAUGAAGAACAGUUAAAAGCAGAGAACAAAACCCACCAUAAGACCAAAAGCAACAAUGGAGUAUUUUCCCUCCUGAAUGUUUGUUACAGCUCUUGCUGGCCAUGCAAAAAAAAAAAAAAANNNNNNNNNNNNNNNNNNNNAAAAAAAAAAAAAAAAAAAAAAAAAAAAAAAAAGCCCAAAUAAAAUCUGGCACACAGGUCA
rnacentral:lncRNA from 1 species